rnacentral:rRNA from 1 species
AUUGAACGCUGGCGGCAUGCCUUACACAUGCAAGUCGAACGGUAACAGGUCUUCGGAUGCUGACGAGUGGCGAACGGGUGAGUAAUACAUCGGAACGUGCCCGAUCGUGGGGGAUAACGGAGCGAAAGCUUUGCUAAUACCGCAUACGAUCUACGGAUGAAAGCAGGGGACCGCAAGGCCUUGCGCGGACGGAGCGGCCGAUGGCAGAUUAGGUAGUUGGUGGGAUAAAAGCUUACCAAGCCGACGAUCUGUAGCUGGUCUGAGAGGACGACCAGCCACACUGGGACUGAGACACGGCCCAGACUCCUACGGGAGGCAGCAGUGGGGAAUUCUGGACAAUGGGCGAAAGCCUGAUCCAGCCAUGCCGCGUGCAGGAUGAAGGCCUUCGGGUUGUAAACUGCUUUUGUACGGAACGAAAAGACUCUUUCUAAUAAAGAGGGUCCAUGACGGUACCGUAAGAAUAAGCACCGGCUAACUACGUG